GCGGGGCGCGAGCCCCUGCGGCGGAGGAAAGUCCGGACUCCACAGGGCAGGGCGUCCGCGCCGGGAGGUGCGGAAUUCCGGCGGAAAACGCCGGGAAAGGAAAGUGCCACAGAAACGAAACCGCCUCCGCGGAAACGCGGCGGCAAGGGUGAAACGGCGGUGCAAGAGACCACCGUGCGGAGGCCGAGAGGCGCCGCGCAAGGCAAACCCCGCCCGGAGCAAGGUCAAAUAGGAAUGGACAACGGGGCGGCCCGUCCCGCGCGGGAAACCGCGGUCCGUUCGGGUUGACCGCUCAGACAAAUGACCGGGCCCGCCGCGAGGCGGGCGACAGAAUCCGGCUUAUUCGC
rnacentral:RNase_P_RNA from 1 species